UUAGAGUUUGAUCCUGGCUCAGGAUGAACGCUAGCGGCAGGCUUAACACAUGCAAGUCGAGGGGCAGCAUGUCCAGCAAUGGAUGAUGGCGACCGGCGGAAGGGUGCGUAACGCGUGAGCAACAUGCCCUAUACAGGGAGAUACACCAGGGAAACUUGGUCUAAUAUCCCAUAGCAUUCAUUGAAGGCAUCUUUAAUGAAUUAAAGCUUCGGUGGUAUAGGAUUGGCUCGCGUGACAUUAGCCAGAUGGUGAGGUAACGGCUCACCAUAGCAAUGAUGUCUAGGGGUUUUGAGAGGAAGGCCCCCCACACUGGGACUGAGACACGGCCCAGACUCCUACGGGAGGCAGCAGUGAGGAAUAUUGGACAAUGGAUGGAAAUCUGAUCCAGCCAUGCCGCGUGCAGGAAGACGGCCUUAUGGGUUGUAAACUGCUUUUAUACGGGAGCAAUAAGGGUUACGAGUAAUCCGAUGGGAGUACUGUAUGAAUAAGGAUCGGCUAACUCCGUGCCAGCAGCCGCGGUAAUACGGAGGAUCCGAGCGUUAUCCGGAAUUACUGGGUGUAAAGGGAGCGUAGGUGGCAAGUCAAGUCAGAUGUGAAAGCCCGGGGCUCAACCCCGGGAUUGCAUUUGAAACUGGUUUGCUAGAGUGCAGAAGAGGUAAGUGGAAUUCCAUGUGUAGCGGUGAAAUGCGUAGAUAUAUGGAGGAACACCAGUGGCGAAGGCGACUUACUGGUCUGUGAUUGACGCUGAGGCUCGAAAGCGUGGGUAGCGAACAGGAUUAGAUACCCUGGUAGUCCACGCCGUAAACGAUGAGUGCUAAGUGUUGGAGGGUUUCCGCCCUUCAGUGCUGGAGUUAACGCAUUAAGCACUCCGCCUGGGGAGUACGGCCGCAAGGCUGAAACUCAAAGGAAUUGACGGGGACCCGCACAAGCGGUGGAGCAUGUGGUUUAAUUCGAUGCAACGCGAAGAACCUUACCAGGUCUUGACAUCCAAAGAACCUUUAGGAAACUAAGGGGUGCCUUAGGGAGCUUUGAGACAGGUGGUGCAUGGUUGUCGUCAGCUCGUGUCGUGAGAUGUUGGGUUAAGUCCCGCAACGAGCGCAACCCUUGCUAUUAGUUGCUAACAUUCAGUUGAGCACUCUAAUGGGACUGCCCGUGACAAGCGGGAGGAAGGUGGGGAUGACGUCAAAUCAUCAUGCCCUUUAUGAUCUGGGCUACACACGUGCUACAAUGGAUGGUACAGAGAGCAGCGAGACAGUGAUGUGGAGCGAAUCUCAAAAAGCCAUUCUCAGUUCGGAUUGCAGGCUGCAACUCGCCUGCAUGAAGUCGGAAUCGCUAGUAAUCGCGCAUCAGCCAUGGCGCGGUGAAUACGUUCCCGGGCCUUGCACACACCGCCCGUCAAG
rnacentral:rRNA from 1 species